UAAGGAAUAUUGGUCAAUGGACGCAAGUCUGAACCAGCCAUGCCGCGUGAAGGAUGAAGGUCCUCUGGAUUGUAAACUUCUUUUAUCUGGGACGAAAACGGGAUUUUUAUCCCAAUUGACGGUACCAGAGGAAUAAGCACCGGCUAACUCCGUGCCAGCAGCCGCGGUAAUACGGAGGGUGCGAGCGUUAUCCGGAUUUACUGGGUUUAAAGGGUGCGUAGGUGGGCUUAUAAGUCAGUGGUGAAAUCUCCGAGCUUAACUUGGAAACUGCCGUUGAUACUAUAGGUCUUGAAUUAUCUGGAGGUAAGCGGAAUAUGUCAUGUAGCGGUGAAAUGCUUAGAUAUGACAUAGAACACCAAUUGCGAAGGCAGCUUACUACAUAUAAAUUGACGCUGAGGCACGAAAGCGUGGGGAUCAAACA
rnacentral:rRNA from 1 species